rnacentral:lncRNA from 1 species
UUCCUCGCGACAGGCGGUGCCCUUUGCAGGAGGGGACAGGUAGCUGAGGCGUGGACAGAGUGACAGGCCAGGCUCAGGGGACACAGGUGAGACCCCCUCACUGGGCUGCCAGUUCCCGGGCUUGGGGCAUCCCAGUACGUCAGCGUCUGCGGCCUUACCUCCUGACACCUAAGGCCAGAGACAGAGCAGGCCCGCGCCCUGGGAGGUCCUGAUGUCCAGCCUGAAGAUUGAGGACAAAGCCACCACCUUUCACAAAAUGAGGCCAGACCACCUGCCUCCCUCCAGUCCCUGCGGCCUGGAGACGGAGUCAACAUUCUUAUCUGUGUUGGAUCUGAAUGUUCCUCCUUGCAAAGGAAACAAGGAGUGGACGUUCAGGCUGAUGGCCAGCUUCAAAGAUCGGGGCCUUUGAUUCCCAUCACUGGGAAGAAAGCCCUUCAGACAAGCCCCCCCAGGCUGCAGGUGCAUGGGGACCUUGAAGAACCCGUCCCCAUGGUCCCACGUCCAUGUGUCUCGAGACCUGUCGCAUCCUCGCUGAAACUCAAGAAUGUGAAACAGAGUCCAGCUCUCCCACGGGUGGCUGUGAUCCUUCUUCCUGGGGAGUCCUGCUGUCCCUGACUAGGGGCACCUGCCCACCUGUCAGCUGCUCCUCCCUCGGCUGGUCCUCCUGGGCUCUGAUGGCCCCAACAUUUCUAGCUCUUCUCACCCAUAGUGCCCCAAGCUUCAUGCAGCUGCGGCAGGUACUGUGCCCGUCUGCCUGGCUUUUGUGUGUUUGUGUCUUGACUCUAUAACCCGUGCACACGGACUGGGCUGUGGUGUAGUGGGGAUGGCAGGAGCCCUGGGAACAUGCGGGCUGGGCAAGGUGAGGCAGGCUGAUUGCUGUGGCUCCCCCACCACCAGCCCCAGCCACAACAAACUGACAAAGGAAGAGGAC